rnacentral:misc_RNA from 1 species
AAAGGAAAAGAAAAAGGGGAAACCAGAUGGUUUUAUACAUGAAAUUGAACAUACUAACCUUGACAGACAAGUCUGCAAAUUCCAUUGCUAGCUAGCAGAUGCAAAACCAAGUAUUGAAAGCAGCCUCCAUGAAUAUACAUCUUCAGUUUUCAGACCCUUCUUUUUUCUCAUGUCAAUGAAUUAAUGAGAAGAAAGAUCUCAUCUCCAUCAUACC